rnacentral:rRNA from 1 species
ACAGCAGUCGCCACGGUAAUACAGAGGGGGCUAGCGUUGUUCGGAAUUACUGGGCGUAAAGCGCACGUAGGCGGAUAUUUAAGUCAGGGGUGAAAUCCCGCAGCUCAACUGCGGAACUGCCUUUGAUACUGGGUAUCUUGAGUAUGGAAGAGGUUAGUGGAAUUGCGAGUGUAGAGGUGAAAUUCGUAAAUAUUCGCAGGAACACCAGUGGCGAAGGCGGCUAACUGGUCCAUAACUGACGCUGAGGUGCGAAAGCGUGGGGAGCAAACAGGAUUAGAUACCCCAGUAGUCCCUGUCUCUUAUAC